AAAUAAUAAUAAUUAUUAUUAUUUUUCCUUCUCUUCUUUCGGUUUUAGUUUACCAACUGUACCGCUCUUCCUCUUUCUCCUCCUUUUUUCAGUCCGUUUGUCUGUCAAUUUCUUCUGUCUCCAUGAAAACCUCGCCAAUAGGAAACCCACCUCCACAUGGUGUCGAGCUUUGACCUUUUGUUGCAAAUGGGUACCUUUAGGUGAUGUUUCUGAGUGCUUGAGAACUCUUCUUGAUGCCACGCAACUCUGUCUGCUUUUAAUGGGUUUUCUAGCCAUGGUGAAGCAGCGACUGGAGGUGGCUCUUUGAUUUGCCCAUGCCUCGUGGACAGAUCUCUCUUUCUCCUAUCUCACUCUGCCUAGCUGCUUGAAUGGAAAGGAUACGGAUAUACACAAACUUAAGGAGGGGGUUGUAAAGUAAAACGAAAUUCAAAGACAUUACCAAUACAUUGUCAUUUAAAAGACCUCCACCACCCCAAGAUGGCACCUUUCCUGCAGAGUCAAAUAUAUCAAGUCAAAACAAUUAAAAUAUCAAAGUAUUUGAAACGUUGCUAAUCAAAUUCCACUCCUGUUGCCCAUUGAUUGUAUAAUCUUUCUUAUUGUCCUUCCUCCUAUCUCACCAUAAUCUUAAUCAAUUAAAUUAAGAAGAGAGAGAAACCUCAAAAGUGAUGAUUCAGAAAAGUAAAGGGAAAAGUUAAUAAAGUCAACAUGAUUUAGAGAUUAGUGAAUGUAAAGGAUUACCAAAGGGCUGCACCAACUGCUGAGAUAUUGCAGCAAGAGGAGUCCUCCAAAACCAGCAAAUCAACAUAAAGUAUGUCACAAUCAUUAAAGGGCACAGAAGUUCCGUCUUGAUGCUCAAUUUGCAGCUUGGAAUCAGGUAUACUGUUGGACAAAUUGCACCUGUACAGAGGUGAGAAGCUUGCUUGUGAGAUUUUGGUCAAAGAGCAAGCUUUUGGAUGAAUUUUCCAAAAGAUUGAUCACAGUUAACCCCACCCCAUCAAUCUGAUGAUUUUAAGUGGAAACACUACUAUGCAAACAUCUUUAGGAAUUUGAAAGAGAAGUUCAAGAUAGAUGCCAUUGACUAUGUGACGUCCAUUUGUGGAAAUGGUUCUCUUAGGGAACUUUUCUCUCCUGGAAGAAGUGGUAGCAUCUUUUUCCUGUCUCAAGAUGAUUACUUUAUGAUUAUGACGCUCCAGAAAUCUAAAGUGAAGUUUGUUAGAAGACAUAUUGACUGUCAAACAUGUCUUCCUCAUUUACCUCCUCUCUCUCUCUCUCUCUCUCUCUCUUGAGAGGGUGAAAUUAUGAAGGGAACUUUUAAGCUGGAGCUUGGUAAAAUAACUCCAUAGAUACCUUACAUGCACUGGUGAUGUUUCUGAGCGCUUGAGAACUGUUCUUGAUGCCACGCAACUUUGACCGCUUUUAAUCGGUUUCCCAAGCCAUGGUGAAGCAGCGACUGGCCGUGGCUUUCUGAUAUGCCCAUGCCCUGUGGAUAAGAUCUCUCUUUCUAUCUCACUCUCCCUA